CCUACGGGGGGCAGCAGUGAGGAAUAUUGGUCAAUGGACGAGAGUCUGAACCAGCCAAGUAGCGUGAAGGAUGACUGCCCUAUGGGUUGUAAACUUCUUUUAUAUGGGAAUAAAAUGUUCCACGUGUGGGAUUUUGUAUGUACCAUAUGAAUAAGGAUCGGCUAACUCCGUGCCAGCAGCCGCGGUAAUACGGAGGAUCCGAGCGUUAUCCGGAUUUAUUGGGUUUAAAGGGAGCGUAGUUGGAUUGUUAAGUCAGUUUGGAAAGUUUGCGGCUCAACCGUAAAAGUGCAGUUGAAACUGGGAGUAGUGAGGACAGUAGAGGUGGGCGGAAUUCGUGGGGGAGCGGUGAAAU
rnacentral:rRNA from 1 species